rnacentral:rRNA from 1 species
CCUACGGGUGGCAGCAGUGAGGAAUAUUGGUCAAUGGGCGCGAGCCUGAACCAGCCAAGUAGCGUGAAGGAUGACUGCCCUACGGGUUGUAAACAUCUUUUAUAAAGGAAUAAAGUGAGGCACGUGUGCCUUUUUGUAUGUACUUUAUGAAUAAGGAUAGGCUAACUCCGUGCCAGCAGCCACGGUAAUACGGAGGAUCCGAGCGUUAUCCGGAUUUAUUGGGUUUAAAGGGAUCGUAGUUUGUUUGUUAAGUCAGUUGUGAAAGUUUGCGGCUCAACCGUAAAAUUGCAAUUGAUACUGGCAGCAUUGAGUACAGUUGAGGUAGGUGGAAUUCGUGGUGGAGCGGUGAAAUGCUUAGAGAUCACGAAGAACUCAGAGUGCGAAGGCAGCCUACUAAACUGCCACUGACAUUGAUGCUCGAAAGUGUGGGUAUCAAACAGGAUUAGAUACCCGGGUAGUC